GAUGAACGCUGGCGGCGUGCCUAAUACAUGCAAGUCGAGCGAACAGACGAGGAGUUUGCUCCUCUGACGUUAUCGGCGGACGGGUGAGUAACACGUGGAUAACCUACCUCUAAGACAGGGAGAACAUUGGGAAACCGGAGCUAAUACCGGAUAAUAUAUUGAACCGCAUGGUUCAAUAGUGAAAUACGGUUUUGCUGUCACUUAUAGAUUGAUCCGCGCUGCAUCAGCUAGUUGGUAAGGUAACGGCUUACCAAGGCAACGAUGGGUAACCGACCAGAGAGGGUGAUCGGCAGCACUGGAACGAAGACAGGGUCCAGAAUCCUGCGAGAGGCAGACGGAGAGGAUCCUCCGCGAUGGGCGAAAGCGUGACGGUGCAACAGCGGGUGAAGGAUGAAGGUCUUCGGGUCGUAAAACUCUGUUAUUCGGGAAGGACAUAAGUGUCAGUAACUAUGCAAGUCUUGGCGGUACCUAGUCAAAAAGCCCCGGCUAACUUCGUG
rnacentral:rRNA from 1 species